rnacentral:ncRNA from 1 species
CAGGAGCACUGCCGAGUAGCUACGUCGGGAAGGGAUAAGCACUGAAAGCAUAUAAGUGCGAAACCCACCACAAGAUGAGAUUUCUUUUAAGGGUCGUAGAAGACGACUACGUUGAUAGGUCAUAGGUGUAGAGGCAGCAAUGUCUUAGCCGAGUGAUACUAAUUACCCGUAGGUCUAUCGUN